UUGACAUCCUGCGAAUUUUCUAGAGAUAGAAAAGUGCCUUCGGGAACGCAGUGACAGGUGCUGCAUGGUUGUCGUCAGCUCGUGCCUUGAGGUGUGCGGUUAAGUCCGUGAACGAGCGCAACCCUCGUCGCAUGUUGUAUUUUUCAUGCGAGACUGCCCGUUUUACGCGGGAGGAAGGUGAGGAUGACGUCAAAUCAGCAUGGCCCUUAUGUCCUGGGCAACACAGGUGCUACAAUGGUCGGUACAAAGGGCAGCGAAGUCGUAAGAUGGAGCCAAUCCCAAAAAGCCGAUCUCAGUUCGGAUUGGAGUCUGCAACUCGACUCCAUGAAGCUGGAAUCGCUAGUAACCGUGAAUCAGCUAUGUCACGGUGAAUCCGUUCCUGGAUCUUGUACUCACCGCCCGUCAAGUCAUGAAAGAUGGGGGCGCCCGAAGUGGUCUUAUGCCGACUUGUCGGCAGGAUCACCACGGUGAAACCAUUGAUUGGGGCUAAGUCGUAACAAGGUA
rnacentral:rRNA from 1 species